rnacentral:rRNA from 1 species
AUUGAACGCUGGCGGCAGGCCUAACACAUGCAAGUCGAGCGAGCGGCGGAAGGGUGAGUAAUGUCUGGGAAACUGUCCGAGGGAGGGGGAUAACUACAGGAGACAGUAUCUAUUAUCGCAUAUCAUCAGAUGUGCCCAGAUGGGAGUAGCUAGUAGGUGGGGUAACGGAUCACCUAGGCGACGAUACCUAGCUGGUAUGAGAGGAUGACCAGCCAAACGGGAACUGAGAAACGGUCCAGAAUCCUACGGUAGGCAGCAGUGGGGAAUAUUGCACAAUGGGCGCAAGCCUGAUGCAGCCAUGCCGCGUGUAUGAAGAAGGCCUUCGGGUUGUAAAGUACUUUCAGCGGGGAGGCGUUACCCGCAGAAGAAGCACCGGCUAACUCCGUGCCAGCAGCCGCGGUAAUAC